GCCACUUCUGCUAGAGCAAACCCUAUUUUAAUACAUUACAAUACAUAGUGGGUGCUCAGUAAAUGUUUGUUGAAUGGAUGCACGAGCCCAUUAUGAAACCUGAGAAAUUCAAUGUGAGCUGCUGCAUCACCUCACCUCGGCUUUACCUCAGUCUGGGUCCCCGUGAAAAGGAUUCGCUCUCCCACUUCACAAAAGGAAAAUACUUGUUUCUACAAUGUAUUCAUGUAACCAACAUUUACCGAGAGGCUCUUUCGCGGUGGGCAUAGUGCUGGGCACAGUGGCUAAGAGACACCUGGGUUCUGACCUCUCCCUGCAGCCCCAGCCUACUGGUUGACCCACGAUUUAUUGACUUGGGUAGUUAGGUAAUUACUCAGUGAAGCACUGCUGCCUUUGAAAAUGUCUCCUUUCUUUCCCCCUGAAUUAUUACAAGAGAGGAGAGAGGGAGGCAGCUGAUUGGUAUGAAUGUCAGGGCCAUAAUAAACCCUGAUUUACUUAAGGGUACGUGGAAUGAAACAAAUCAAGUGUUAACCAACAUUUUCUUUGAAAUGAGGUUGGGAAGGAUUAGCUUAGAGGAGGGUAUCAUUAGAAAGAGAAGAGCCAUUAAUCACUGUCCCAAAAUAAUCCAAGUUGAAUAUCUUAUUGUUUAAUUAUUUUUAAUCUUUUGGAAAUACAGAGCCGCCCCAGGGUGUUUUCUUUUCUCUCUCCCUCCUACAGAGCAGCCUGCUCUGGGAGCUGAAGUCCUCCUGUGUAUUCCUUGAACUGGAUCCAAAUUCAUUACAGAUAGACUGUGAAGCGGACAUAGAUGAUGAAGCUGGUGAAGAGGAGGGGGCAGGAGGGAAGGCAAGCAAGGGACGGAGACAAGCCUUCCCUGGAAUAUUUGCCUAGUGAACGUCCUCUGUGCAGACUCACAUGAUGCUUUGUCAUCUUUGGGAGAAGAGCCAAUAUUAUAAAAAGUUGCUGGGGAAAAAAUGGAUCACGGCAGAAUAACCAGGGCAUUUAACCAGCCUGAGUUUGGAGGUGAUGGUUGCUGGCCUCUCUGGGUUUCCCGGGUCAAAGAAACAGAAUUUAGAACCUGGAAGUGUUGAUCAAGACGAACACUGCAACUUUGAUCAGCUAAGUAUGAAUAAAUCAGAAAUGUAUGCUUUAAAUUCCCUUUGAAAUACGUACAUACUUAGAGGUUAAGGGGAGAAAGCGUUUGGCAGAAUACAUCUCAGAAGUUGCCAGCCAUAUAAUGCUUGAAAAAUCGCCAGUUCCGCUUUGCCAAACCUAAAAGCAGCCAGGUUUGCUCAUCUCUACAUUAAAGGAACAUUAAGGUCUUUAUCUAUUGACCUGAACCUAAUAAAGAAGGGGAAUUUUAGAGCUGAGACUAAUGUGUUUUUUUUUUUUAAAUCACCUCCUACUGCCUAAUUAUUGUUGAGAUCUCUGUGUGAUGUUGCAUAUCUAAUCCAUGAUACUCAAUAAUACCCAAGUGUGGAGCUGGCAAAUAAGUCAAGGAUGUUAUAAAGAGGGCAGGGACCAAUUAGCCUCAUUAGGUCGAGCAAGCCUCAGAACAAGUGAUAGCCUCUGACUGCAGUAAGGAAAAAUUAGAUGAAAUGUUAGAAAAGAUGGCAUUACAUAACAGGCAAAGCCACAGCUGCAUCAGGAUAUAAAAUCACUUAAAAAUUUU